rnacentral:rRNA from 1 species
UUUUAUGGUUAAGUUAGAAAGGGCGCACGGUGGAUGCCUUGGCACUAGGAGCCGAUGAAGGACGGUACAAACACCGAUAUGCUCCGGGGAGCUGUACGUAAGCUUUGAUCCGGAGAUUUCCGAAUGGGGAAACCCCCUGUCUUUAAUCGGACA